rnacentral:rRNA from 1 species
UACGAAGGGUGCAAGCGUUACUCGGAAUUACUGGGCGUAAAGCGUGCGUAGGUGGUUGUUUAAGUCUGUCGUGAAAGCCCUGGGCUCAACCUGGGAAUUGCGAUGGAUACUGGGCGACUAGAAUGUGGUAGAGGGUGGCGGAAUUCCCGGUGUAGCAGUGAAAUGCGUAGAGAUCGGGAGGAACAUCCGUGGCGAAGGCGGCCACCUGGACCAACAUUGACACUGAGGCACGAAAGCGUGGGGAGCAAACAGG